rnacentral:rRNA from 1 species
AACGAACGCUGGCGGCAUGCUUAACACAUGCAAGUCGAACGAUGUAGCAAUACAUAGUGGCGCACGGGUGAGUAACGCGUGGGAAUCUGCCCUUCAGUACGGAAUAACAGCGGGAAACUGUUGCUAAUACCGUAUAAUGUCUCCGGACCAAAGAUUUAUCGCUGAAGGAUGAGCCCGCGUCAGAUUAGCUAGUUGGUGAGGUAAUGGCUCACCAAGGCUCCGAUCUGUAGCUGGUCUGAGAGGAUGAUCAGCCACACUGGAACUGUGACACGGUCCAGACUCCUACGGGAGGCAGCAGUGGGGAAUAUUGGACAAUGGGGGAAACCCUGAUCCAGCAAUGCCGCGUGAGUGAUGAAGGCCUUAGGGUUGUAAAGCUCUUUUGUCAGGGAAGAUAAUGACGGUACCUGAAGAAUAAGCACCGGCUAAUUUCGUGCCAGCCGCCGCGGUAA